rnacentral:rRNA from 1 species
UACGUAGGUGGCAAGCGUUAUCCGGAUUUACUGGGUGUAAAGGGCGUGUAGGCGGUUUUGCAAGUCAGAUGUGAAAUCUCCGGGCUUAACCCGGAAACUGCGUCUGAAACUGCAGAACUUGAGUACUGGAGAGGAUAGUGGAAUUCCUAGUGUAGCGGUAAAAUGCGUAGAUAUUAGGAGGAACACCAGUGGCGAAGGCGACUAUCUGGACAGUAACUGACGCUGAGGCGCGAAAGCGUGGGGAGCAAACAGGAUUAGAUACCCGGGUAGUCCCU